AUCGCUUCUCAGCUUUUUGGCUAAGAUCAAGUGUAGUAUCUGUUCUUAUCAGAAAUAAGUUAAAAAUAAAACCUGGGGAUAAAUGCAAAGGCAACUCAAAGAAUAGUAGAAACCUUU
ensembl:snRNA U2 U2 spliceosomal RNA